UACGUAGGGUGCAAGCGUUGUCCGGAAUUAUUGGGCGUAAAGAGCUCGUAGGCGGUUUGUCGCGUCGAAUGUGAAAUCCCGGGGCUCAACCCCGGGUCUGCAUUCGAUACGGGCAGACUAGAGUUCGGUAGGGGAGUCUGGAAUUCCUGGUGUAGCGGUGAAAUGCGCAGAUAUCAGGAGGAACACCGAUGGCGAAGGCAGGUCUCUGGGCCAUAACUGACGCUGAGAAGCGAAAGCAUGGGGAGCGAACAGG
rnacentral:rRNA from 1 species